CGGGUGAGUAACACGUAUGCAACCGUGCCUGCCACAGCCGGAUAAUCGGGAGAAAUUCCGUCUAAUACGGCAUAAUGCAUCGACGGGACAUCCUGUUGGUGCCAAAGGUUAAUUCCGGUGGCGGAUGGGCAUGCGUCGCAUUAGUUAGUUGGCGGUGUAACGGACCACCAAGACGACGAUGCGUAGGGGUUCUGAGAGGAAGGUCCCCCACACUGGUACUGAGACACGGACCAGACUCCUACGGAAGGCAGCAG
rnacentral:rRNA from 1 species